rnacentral:ncRNA from 1 species
GCUAUGAAUGGGCAAACCCAUUGAAAGGUGGGGACGCAAAGCCACGGGCCUACGGAUCUUCUCUAUGGCAGCCGGGUUGCCAAC